rnacentral:rRNA from 1 species
UACCAGCACCCCGAGUGGUCGGGACGAUUAUUGGGCCUAAAGCAUCCGUAGCCGGUUUUACAAGUCCCCCGUUAAAUCCAACUGCUUAACAGAUGGGCCGCGGAGGAUACUAUAAGACUAGGAGGCAGGAGAGGCAAGCGGUACUCAGUGGGUAGGGGUAAAAUCCGUUGAUCCAUUGAAGAACCACCAGUGGCGAAGGCGACACACUGGCCCGUUACUGACGCUGGAGGCGCGAAAAGCGUGGGGAGCGAACAGG